AUCCGCCAGUGUAAGCCGCUCCCGUCUCACGAGCACAAGUGCAUUCGCUCCAUCUUGAAUCACAAGCACCGGUUCAGCCUUACAGCGGGCGAAACACGAGGAGAACAAAGAACACCAGGACGAUCGUUUUCUGUAUAUUGCCUAUAACCAAUUGUGAACCAUGUCGUGGGAUGAACAUAUCAAUGGAGGAUACCUCAUGGGUUCUGGCAUAUUGUCAAAGGCUGCCAUUGCAUCCAUUGAAGGAGCAACCGUGGUCACAUCAAAGGAAAAUGGUCUCCAAACUAUGAACCUUACUACAGAAGAGAUCAAAGAGCUGGUCAAAGCAUGCAAAGGAGACGAGUCCUGCUUUGCAAGUGGGAUUUAUAUGGAAGGCACUAAGUAUAUUGUAGCAAAUCGAUUAGAGAACCAGCUGAAUUUGAAAUCAUCCAAGAUGGUAAAUGAUGUCAAGGUUUCAGCCUCUGUUAUUAUUACGCGCCAGUAUGUUAUUGUAGCCGUAGACAAAGAUGGCUCACUUAAAGGACCUCUUGCAAAUAACUUGUUCAAAUAUGCUCAGUACUUGCUAAAUACAGGUUAUUGAUGUGGUGUGUGGUCAUCAUUUGAGGGAACAGUAUGAUCAUGACCUCGACCAUGAUGCAGGUCCCGGCUGAUCACAGCUUGUGAUGCAACAGUCCUUGGGGAAGAGGUCUUUCUUGCUACAUCUUCUCGUGCACCUUGCUGCCUCUCAUCUUGCUGAAAACUAGGACUUAUCCAUGUUGCCUGCUUUCUGAAUUCAUGGAAUACAGUAUUUGUGUUAUUGGAAACAUGCUAUUUUGCACUUCAUAAUACAGGGCUUCCUGGACUGCUGGUGAAGCUGAGACACUUCAUCUGUACAUUUGUGUUUUAAUCUUGCUGAGGAUGCAUAUGCUUUCCUUUUGCUGUCAAGGAGCAAAAUCUGUAAUAUUAUUUUCUCAAAGAAAGCUGAAGUAAUUGUUUCAAUAAUGCAAUGAUUAUGUUUCAAGAAAUGCUUUGAAUAGAGAAUCAUGAAAAUUACUCUGGUGUUCAUCAGUAUUGUUUUUGUUUUUGUUGGUAUUUCUUUACAUUAUAAUUAAAAAGUUCCACAGUGUCAUAUGAAAUCAUUCCAGUUAAUUUAUUACAUAUCAAACUUAAUCAGUAUUGUUAUUCUUAUAUGAGAUUUGCUUUGUACUUAAUAUCAUUUUAAGACUUUGAAAACUCAUACUAUUAUGCAGGUAGUGCUAUGAUGGUAGUCUGUGUGUUCAUAACCUCACUGUACCUUGUUAGUAAAUAUGAAGUAGUAGUAGUUGUGCAUUAUACUCCAGAAAUAAGAAUCUGUAAACAUGAUCUAGACGACGUACAUGUUUAUUAAUUUAUUUGAGAAUUAUUUGUACUUUAUUGAGUCUGAAGAUAAUAGCAUUAGCUGUGUUGUACCAAGGUUCUGUGUCAAAAGGGUCCCACUACUCCUCAAUAUUUAAAAAACCUUCAGAAAAUGUGGAAAGUUCUUUGUCAUUACUCAUAAUAAUGACAUCCAGCUUUGUGAUUGGCUAGUUGCCAUCAUGUGACAAUCCAUUCAGUUUGGUCCGCCGGCCUGUCCAGAAACAUAUGGAUAUCAUAGUGUUUCGCAAAACGUCACAUGCAAACGUCAUAUUGUCAUGGCAAACUAGACCCUGUUCACACUCUGAUUUACUAUACAGAACCACUGGCAGUCAUAAGGCUUACCUGAUGCUGUCACACAAACAUAUUUCACAAAAAUAAGUCACUGUACAUGUGAACACCUUAAUGUCACGAGUAAGACAAUCUCAUUAAAAUCAGAACUAUGUUGUUGCUGCCGCUAAACAAAAAUCUGAGGACAUCCUGUUAUUUUACCAGACAUAGAGUUAGGCUUGGUUGACCAAUUAACAAGGGUUUGACUCAUUUUUAUUAAUACUCAUACAUCUAAGUUGUGUACAGAUACUCUGCUGAUAGCCUAGGUCAGUCUGGUCUUCAUUAACAAGGGAUAAUAGUGACCUCUUACUUUCACCCAGUGCUAAUUAGACAGUAUUGAUCUUGAUUGGAAACAGGCAGAAGAGAAAGGAUCCAACCCACACUAGGUUCAUGAAAAUAUAUAUGUAGUUCAUUGAUUCAUUACAUAGCUGACUACAGAAUUUUGGUAACUAAGUAUUAUAGAACUUAUGUAGUUUGUAUGCCUCACUUAAGAUAUCUUAUACUUCAUGAUAGAAAUGUAUACCUUCUUUCAAAGACAGUAUUAUCAUGUUGUUGAAUACUCUAGGUGUAAUUUUAGUCCUGGUGUCUGAACUGAAUACUGUAAAUUGGUCAGUAUAAUAAGAUUUGAUCUGAUAUUAAUUAAAUCUUGUGGUUUCUUUUCCUUUUGACAUGCCCUCCUCCAACGAAUUCCAUGUAUGUCUGUGAUACAAAUCCCUCCUUUGGUUGCCAUGCCAUUCUGUUCUUCUUACCAUAAAUAACGUUCUGUUUUACUCUACCAGUACCAAUACCAACAUGAUAAUACUUACUUUUUAGAUCUAAAAACUAGGUUGAUGAGGCUCUUCAUUUGGCUUAUAUCCUGGAGAUUACAGCUGUCGGAAGCUUUUCAGCCAUCAUUGUUGCAUUGUUUUAUUAUGCAUAACCACUUUUAGUCGAGUAUCCAUUGCAGCAAUAGUGACUACUGAUUGUCAAUGUCAUGCCUUCUUUGUGCUUUGUUAACCUCACUAGCCACAUCUGUGUUAGUCCUGGUUGUCUUUAUGCAAGCAAUUUAUUAAACAAGAGCCUUUCCUACA